ensembl:snRNA U6 U6 spliceosomal RNA
GUACUCACACUGGCAGCACAUAUACUAAAAUUGGAAUGUUACAGAGAAGAUUAAUGUGGCCCCCACACAAGUAUGACAUGCAAAUGCAUGAAUUGGUCCAUAAAAAA